rnacentral:lncRNA from 1 species
CAAAAAUGCCUAGCCACAAAACAAGUCCAAAAAAUCCAAGACGAGCCCCCUCUAUAUAGGACAACCUACAACGGCCAACACACUUGCAACAAGUCAGCCCUCCACCACCACGUCGUCCCCGCCUCGCCGGAUUCCUCCUCCGUCAUGUGGAGCUUCAAUUCGAUCAAACAGGAGGAGGAGAUUCAAAUGAAAACACCGGACGAGUACUACAUAUCGCCCCACCACUUUUCGCCCAUGUCUUCGGAUGUGUACUCUUGCUCUCAUAGUAUUGAGGAUGUGGAUGACAUUGUGGGCUCCUUCGAAGAUUAUUUCGAAUUUGAAACCUUAAGUUGACUUCGAUUAUCUCUACUUAAUUUUCUAUAUAUAGUUGGAAUAAUUAAUUUAGAACUUGCUCAAUAUGUGUCAUGUAGUACUAUUUAGUGUGUAGAGGUACAUUUUGGGCUAGACUAGACUAGACUACUCCAUGUUGUAGCAUUUGUUUUAUUUACUCUUUUGGGUGCAUGUAUGUGUAUAUAUAGUGUUCACACUUCAAAAUAUAUAUUUAAUUUCCAUUUAUGUAUCAUCGAGUACUAUGAUUGAAACAUGCAAAUCACUUCACAAGGAUAUAUAUAUAUAUAUAUAUAUAUAUACAGGGUUGGCUUCAACAAAAACAACCCCUUAUAUAAAGAAAGAAGACAGUUUCUAGUUCGUUAGAUCAAUCUUGAUCAAAAGCUGAGAUUAAAAGUUAAUAUAAUUGUUAUAAUAAUUUCUGACAUUAAGUUUAUAUAUAUUUCGUUCGAAAGGUCAAUUAAGUAAAAAUACAAUGAACAAAAUUUAGUAAGAUUCAUAAUAUCUAUAAAAUUUCUCACCUUCCAAAUUUAUAGCAAAUCUUGGUUCGUUUCAAUGGGAUUUGACUAUAGGUAUCAGUUUCUUUUCUAUAUCAUCACUGAUAAUAUUGGAUUUGAAAGCAACCAAAGGAAAGGGAACUAUGAUAGAAAGGAGUACAGACGCGUAAAAGCAGUCGUCUGUAGGUUAUUGAUUAUUUGUGUUGCUCCCGCCGUCGAUAAACCCUGGUGCAUUAUCCGCAGUCAAAUAAGUUUAAUACAUUUCUAGAUCAUGUUCAUUCAAAUAAGUUGUUAUGUUCGAUCAUUUUGAACAUGUUAAUUUUAUUAACAUAUCAAGUUCGAUACAUUUGCCGAUCAUGUUCAUUCAAAUAAACUGUUAUGUUGGAUCAUUUUAUUAACAUAUUAAGUUCGAUACAUGGGCCAAUCAUGUUCAUUCAAUUAGUUGUUAUGUUCGAUCAUUUUGAACAUGUGAACAAAUAAUGAUCUUAUGAAUAAGAGAACUCUAAUUAAUGUAUCUAAUGUAACAGCCGAACAAAUCUUCCAUAAUAAAAAAUAUAUGAUUAUGUAUAAUUAAGGUAGCCUACUGUUACAAUAAUUAGAAAAAUACCAACAUGUCCUUUUGCCUAUAUAAUACCGCAUGUGUUCAUAUUCAAUCACAACCGUUAGAUUUCGUCCAAUCAACGAACGAGAUCAUGUCUCAUUUCUCUUCCUAUAUUUGUGUUUCCAUAGAACUUUGUCCUAUAUAUAUGUGUGUGUGUGUGUGUGUGUGUAGAGCUGGUCUUGGGUGCAACCGAGUUGCACCCUGACCCACACCCUACUCGAAUCCGCAUUCUAAUCUGAACCAUGUAAAUGACACUAUUUGAUUGUACAAAUGAUAUUGCCUGUAAUUGAUACUAUUCAGUUAUACACAUGACAUUGCAUAUAAAUGACACUAUAAUUUUGUAAAUGACACUGUGUAUAAUUGACACUAUUCGAAAGUAUAAAUGACACUAUAAGAUUGUAAAUGACAUUAUCUACCGCAUAUUAAUGCCAAGUUUUGGCACAAUUAGUUUCCCGCCAAUUGAGGCAUUGAUAUAUCCAAUGUGUAAUGUAAUAAGAAAACGUGGGACCUGCUUGACCCCAUCCUUUCUCUUUCCUUCCCCACUUUGUUUUCGUCCGUUUCCUUUUCUUUUUUUUGUGUUCAUUUCCUCUUUCCUUUCAUAUUUGUUUCCUUUUUUUCUUUAUCUUCUUUACAAUUUUCUUCAUACUUAUAUAGCCUUGCUUUUGUUUUGGCACUAUUCUAAGUUAUUAAAAUUAUAAAUUGAAUACAUGCAUGGUCAAAUUUUCCAACGGCCAUCAUUUUUCCAACGAAAUAUUGAGAUCAAAUUUUUCUUUCCAGAUUUAAUACAAUUUUAACGUUAUACAUAAUUAUGUUAUCAUUUAAUAAAUCAAUUUAUUAAAUUAAUAAAUUAAGGUAUACGUUAUAAUUUAAUAAAUUAAUUUAUUCAUAUAAUUAUAUUAAUUUUAAAAUUAUAAUUUAUCAUUUAAAUAAAUGAAUUUAUUCCUAUAAUUAUAUUAGUUUUAUUAAAGUAAAAUAUAAUAGAAAAAAAUUAAAAUACACAAAUAUAAUAGAAAAAAUUAAAAUUAUCUUAGAGGUUUAUUUUGCAAAAAAAAAAAAUAGGUUGUAAUUUUUCUGAGGAACAAUAAAUUUGAUUUAAACUAAGAGGCAAAAAAUUCUAAUUAUUUUUUCUAUGCUAUUUUUCUAUAAGGGUGCUGACAACCGAUAGUUCUUUAGGUACAUAAUUUUUUUUAGCUAUAUUUCUUUGGAGAUUAGCCAAACGGAUGUUGGCAACAUUUGAAUCCAUAGCUGAGAUUGCAAAUGGCGAUUAAAGGGGUUGAUAUAAAGUGGUAGGUCCUCCACUGCAACUUUCAACUCCAUUUCGAUGAGUAAAUGAAGCAAAAAUUGUGUUUUUCCUUUUGCUUUUUUUUAAUUUAAUGGGUGAUUUAGUUCAUGUGUAUUAGUUUCUUGAUUUUGGGCGCUUAGGGGUUUUAAAUUUUGUUGGUUUAAAGUUCUGAAUUUAGAAUUUGGGUUAAAAGAAAAGCUGCAAUAAUGUGGAUAGUUGAAAAACAGAUCAUCAUAAGCUUCAAUUUUGUGCUUUAAAAAAAGUCAGCCCUCCACCACCACGUCGUCCCCGCCUCGCCGGAUUCCUCCUCCGUCAUAUGGAGCUUCAAUUUGAUCAAACAGGAGGAGGAGAUUCAAAUGAAAACACCGGACGAGUACUACAUAUCGCCCCACCACUUUUCGCCCAUGUACACUUUCAAAAUAUAUAUUUAAUUUCCAUUUAUGUAUCAUCGAGUACGAUGAUUGAAACAUGCAA